GUCUUUUAAGUUGCUGUCAAUUCACAUUUCCAGAGCAUUUUACACAUUAUGUAUAAUCUACAUAGAAAGUUUUUGCUUCUGUUGUACUAAUAAUAUAGAAUGUACAGUAGACUAUUCUCAUAGAAAAGUGUUGACUUUAUAGCAGACACGGUGCAGUUAGUUGAUGCAGGAAAAGCUAAAGACGCCCAUACAUUAGUCUAAAGUUGAUCAAAACGAAUGAUUCCAACAAAAAUGACUAUUUGUAAGGUAAAAUUAAACAAAAAAUGAUCAUAUUAGCUGACCAGUCAUUGAAUGGAAAGAAAAAAGAACUCCCCAGAACAAUCCCAGGAGGUUUUUUAUCCAUCACCCGGUGUAGCUGAACAUUUAUGGAUAGUCUGAAUAGACCAAAGAGAUAGUUCACUCGUCGGUCAUUUGUACAACAGUUAUGCAGCCAUCAACUUAAUACUUAAUAUGCAUGGUCGACUUUACUCUCCCAAAAUGUACUAUAGUAGAGAGGCUAUAUAGGAGCCCAGCCAGGCUGCUGGGGAAGUGUCUAUCAACAUAUUUUGAAUAGUUCCUCUAUCAAAACACCAAAAUCUAAAUCCAGCUGUUUUCUAUAAUGCAGCUGUUACGCUAUAAAAAAUAAAAAAAACUACCAAGGGAAAAGCUUUGAGUGGUGUAGAAGACAUCCAAAGUCACAUAAGAAGUCACUACCGUUGCAAAUGUCACAUGGUAGAUGGAAGGCCAGAUUUUGCAUUGGGGCCCAGAAGCCUCAAGCUAAACCUAUGUAAGAUAGAAUCACUAAAGCGAUAUAUUUGCAAACUUACUUGAGAUUGAUAUUGACAUGUAACAAUCCUCAUCUUGACUCGAGUAAAGUAAACAAUAGCAAGAAAAUGUUCAUUGACUUUGUCAAUGGCUUGUGUCACAAGAUUUAGCUGUGACGUGUUAUCACGGAUCUGCUACAUCUGUAUGAAGGAUAUCUAUAUGUAAAAUGUAAAAUUAUGUGCAAAAGCAAACUUGCAUCUUAACCAUCAAUCGCUAUGUAAAACUCGUAGAAAUUUGUAAUUAUUGUAGUAUAUAUUAUUUUCUUUAUAAAUAAUUGUAUCAGGACUUUUACUUAAUACUUACAACUGCUACUUUGAACAACUAUCUGGAGGAUUUUGUCUGAUA